UACGGGGGGGGGCAAGCGUUGUUCGGAAUUACUGGGCGUAAAGGGCUCGUAGGCGGCCAACUAAGUCAGACGUGAAAUCCCCGGGCUCAACCCGGGAACUGCGUCCGAUACUGGCAGGCUUGAAUCCGGGAGAGGGAUGCGGAAUUCCAGGUGUAGCGGUGAAAUGCGUAGAUAUCAAGAGGAACACCUGAGGUGAAGACGGGUUGCUGGGCCAACACUGACGCUGAGGCGCGAAAGCCAGGGGAGCAAACGGG
rnacentral:rRNA from 1 species